rnacentral:rRNA from 1 species
ACGGCUCAGUAACACGUGGACAACCUACCCUCAGGACAGGUAUAAACCCGGGAAACUGGGUAUAAUCCCUGAUAGUCCUCGGCUGCUGGAAUGCAUCGAGGACGAAAGCUCCGGCGCCUGAGGAUGGGUCUGCGGCCUAUCAGGUAGUAGUGGGUGUAACGUACCUACUAGCCUACGACGGGUACGGGUUGUGAGAGCAAGAGCCCGGAGAUGGAUUCUGAGACACGAAUCCAGGCCCUACGGGGUGCAGCAGGCGCGAAAACUUUACAAUGCCGGCAACGGCGAUAAGGGGACCUCGAGUGCCAGGUUACAAAUCUGGCUGUCGUGAUGCCUAAAAAGCAUUGCAUAGCAAGGGCCGGGCAAGACCGGUGCCAGCCGCCGCGGUAACACCGGCGGCUCGAGUGGUAACCGUUAUUAUUGGGUCUAAAGGGUCUGUAGCCGGCCGGAUAAGUCUCUUGGGAAAUCCAGCAGCUCAACUGUUGGGCUUUCAGGAGAUACUGUUCGGCUCGAGGCCGGGAGAGGUGAGAGGUACUUCAGGGGUAGGGGUGAAAUCUUGUAAUCCUUGAAGGACCACCAGUGGCGAAGGCGUCUCACCAGAACGGACCUGACGGCAAGGGACGAAAGCUAGGGGCACGAACCGGAUUAGAUACCCGGGUAGUCCUAGCCGUAAACGAUACUCGCUAGGUGUCGGCCACGGUGCGACCGUUGUCGGUGCCGUAGGGAAGCCGUGAAGCGAGCCACCUGGGAAGUACGGCCGCAAGGCUGAAACUUAAAGGAAUUGGCGGGGGAGCACCACAACGGGUGGAGCUUGCGGUUUAAUUGGAUUCAACGCCGGA